UAGAUGUACGGGCAACAAUGGAGGAUGUUGGUCAGAUAUAAGGGAUGGAACGAGGUUUUCAGCUUGCUCGGUGAACAACGUGACCGGUUGUAGUUGUCCACAAGGUUUUCGCGGGGAUGGUCAUACGUGUAAUGAUAUCAACGAGUGCCAGGAACGUUUAGCUUUUCAAUGUAACGAGUUCACAUGCAAUGUGACAACUCGGUAUUUAUAUACAAAACCCCAUAUCAGGAG